GUGAGGCGCUAAUCGAAAUAACAAUUAAAUAAAAAAUAACAUUCCAAUAUAACCUCUUUGUAUUAUCGAAUUAAACCUCUUGUUUGUCAAAGUUUGGUUCUUCAACUCCCUAAACCCUUUUCGAUACACUCGAUCUAACAAUUCAUGCUACUAACCCAUGUAAGCCCUCUUGUUCCGGAGAUAAUAUAUGCAAAAACUUCCUAGAAACCUGAUCUCCAUUUGUUCCGUUGCUGAUGAUUUAGGCACGAAAACUACAAAAGAGAUCUCGUGCUGAUAGGACUCUCAACUUUUUGGAUCCAAGAUUUAUGGUUGUUCUAUGUCAUGAUCGAGCUUUGGAGAAGCGUAGUGAUUUCAGUAAGAGAUACUCUUUUGGGGGUUCGCUAAUCAAUAGGCAGCAAUGGAGCUGAAAGAUGGUAACUUCAUGGUGGAGUUGUUCUUGUUAUUGGAGUACUAUGGGCAUAGGACAUGUCAUCGUUGAAGAAUUUUUAAGCUUCGGUGUAGUGAUUUAUACACGUUCAUGAAAUAAAAAAUAUUCUGAUGAAUGUUUUGGAGAAACUGGCAAAAGAAGGGGUGUAAAUUAAAAAGGUCUAUAUGUGUCUUGUUAUCAGAAGAUCAAUGACACUGGUAAUUGUAAAAGCCACUAAAUACUUCAGUGGAAAGCUUAAUAUCUCUGUAAAUGAGAUACCUUAAAUUGUUGUGAAGUUUAUAUUGAAUCUUUAAUUGAAGAUUACUAAUUAUGUAA